UACGUAGGGGGCAAGCGUUGUCCGGAUUUAUUGGGCGUAAAGAGCGUGUAGGCGGCCUUACAGGUCAGCUGUGAAAACUCGAGGCUCAACCUCGAGACGUCGGUUGAAACCGUAUGGCUAGAGUCCGGAAGAGGAGAGUGGAAUUCCCGGUGUAGCGGUGAAAUGCGCAGAUAUCGGGAAGAACACCCGUGGCGAAGGCGGCUCUCUGGGACGGUACUGACGCUGAGACGCGAAAGCGUGGGGAGCAAACGGG
rnacentral:rRNA from 1 species